CCUACGGGAGGCAGCAGUGAGGAAUAUUGGACAAUGGAGGCAACUCUGAUCCAGCCAUGCCGCGUGCAGGAAGACUGCCCUAUGGGUUGUAAACUGCUUUUAUAUAGGAAGAAACCUUGGUACGUGUACCAAGCUGACGGUACUAUAAGAAUAAGGAUCGGCUAACUCCGUGCCAGCAGCCGCGGUAAUA
rnacentral:rRNA from 1 species